AUCGUUACAAGGGUUACAAAGGCUUUUUAUAGCCUACUGAUUUGUUACAUAAGGAAAGAAAUCUCUGAUUUCUUGUAUCUUUGACUGAUGUGCUGUGAUUUCCUUGCCAUUUUCUGCUCUGCUUUUUCGCGUAUCUGCUGUUUGUUUCCUUUUCUUGCAGGCAAUCGAGCGAGGGAUCUGGCAGUGACCAUGCUGGUGUAGACGCGUGCACUGAUCACGGCGCUGAUGGAGCCUUGGUGAUGGUCAUGACAUUCAUGACGUAAUUUGGG
rnacentral:lncRNA from 1 species